rnacentral:rRNA from 1 species
UACGUAGGGUGCGAGCGUUAAUCGGAAUUACUGGGCGUAAAGCGUGCGCAGGCGGUUUUGUAAGCCAGAUGUGAAAUCCCCGGGCUUAACCUGGGAAUGGCAUUUGGGACUGCAAGGCUGGAGUGUGGCAGAGGAGACUGGAAUUCCUGGUGUAGCAGUGAAAUGCGUAGAUAUGCGGAGGAACACCGAUGGCGAAGGCAGCCCCCUGGGCUGACACUGACGCUCAGGCACGAAAGCGUGGGGAGCAAACAGG